UGCUCUUACCAGACAUGCACUGCUGCUUCUUUUGCCUUCGAAACCAUCCCGAACCCUAAAUUCGAAUGCGGAACUCAAAUUUCGGUUUCCCUCGCGUCCUGCCCACAUCGUCCGCAUCCGCCGAGCCUAGCCCCAAGCGGAGGAGAAUAGGAGAGGCCACCGAUCCGCCGCCGGAGAUGAGGGAGGAGGCACUGGAGCGGCUGCGCGGGGUGGUGCGGGACAGCGCCGGUAAGCACCUCUACACGUCGGCCAUCUUCCUCGCUGACAAGGUGGCUGCGGCCACGGGGGAUCCUGGCGACGUCUACAUGCUCGCGCAGGCACUCUUUCUCGGCCGCCAAUUCCGCCGCGCGCUCCACCUCCUCAACAAUUCUCGUCUGCUCCGCGACCUCCGGUUCAGAUUCCUCGCCGCCAAGUGCCUCGAGGAGUUGAAAGAGUGGCAUCAGUGUUUGUUGAUGCUUGGGGAUGCAAAAGUGGAUGAGCAUGGAAAUGUCCUUGAUCAUGAUGUUGGCAGUGAUAUAUAUUUUGACAAGGACGCUGAAGAUCAUGAGAUCAAUAUCAAAUCAGCUCUAUGUUUCUUACGUGGCAAGGCGUAUGAAGCACUGGAUAACCGUGAUCUUGCUCGCCAAUGGUACAAGGCAGCUGUUAAAGCCGAUCCUCUGUGUUAUGAGGCUAUUGAAUGUCUUGUUGAUAAUUAUAUGUUGACAUGUGAGGAAGAAGUUGAGUUAUUGUCCUCUCUGCAAUUCGGUGAAGAAGAUGGGUGGCUAUCAGCAUUCUAUUCAUGUUUGGUCACGAAGCAUGAAAAAGAAUAUUUAGUUGAAGCAAAAUUCAAGGAACUUGAGCAAGAAGCUUGUAGUAUUUCGUCCUCGAGUUCUGGUGAAACAAUGAAAAAUAACAUUGAUGUUUUGGUUUGCAAAGCUGAAUACUACCACCAGAGUGGAGAGUACCAAAAAUGUUUUAAACUCACAUCCUCGUUACUUGAGAGAGACCCUUUCCAUUUAAAGUGCACAUUAGUUCAUUUGGCAACUGCAAUGGAGCUUGGUCAUUGCAAUGAUCUUUAUCUUUUGGCAUGCAACUUAGUGAAGGAUUAUCCUCAAAAAGCUCUUUCAUGGUUUGCUGUUGGUUGCUAUUACUACUGUAUCAAGAAGUAUGAUCAAGCGCGAAGAUACUUCGGCAAAGCUACAGGUUUAGAUGGGGCAUUUCCUCCUGCUUGGAUUGGUACAGGCAUUGCCUAUGCUGCUCAAGAGGAGGGUGACCAAGCAAUGGCUGCGUUUCGGACGGCAGCUCGGUUAUUUCCUGGAUGCCAUCUGCCAACUUUAUACAUGGGCAUGCAGUAUGUGCGAAUGCACAAUUUCAAACUUGCAGAGCAGUUCUUCACACAAGCAAAAUCCAUCUGCCCAUCUGAUCCACUUAUUCACAAUGAGUUGGGGGUCGUUGCAUAUAAUAUGAAGGAGGUUCGCGCUCCGAGGACGCAACCUCAUCCCCGUCGCGAAGGAACCUCCCCCCCCGUCGUCGUCGUCGCAGGGUUGCCGCACCCACACCGGCGCCGCUGCUCCGUCGUGAAGCUUCCUCUGCUCCCCCCGUCGCGUCGUCAUCUGCGCAGAUUUCCUUAUCAACUCGGGGUCUUCGUCUUCGGUUCCAAUUUCCAGUGCAACCAAGGUAUUCUCAUACUCAAUUUGUUGCGCAGUUUACUGUCAACAUGGGCUCAACCAAUUACUGUUUAAGGUUUACUAGGGAUGGCAUUGCUCUGUUGCAUCAAUAUUAUUUGUUCAGGGAUUAGUUCUUAGUUUGUUUGUCAGAACCUGUAUGGUCAGGGUUCAGUUCAUACUUUUGUUUGUUACUAGUUGUAUGUUAGUUGCUUCAACCAACAUUUGUCCCUUGUCGGCAAUUCAUGUCAAUACAUGGAAGUUAGUAGAUUGUCCCCUUGUCUAGUACACUAACCAACCUAAAUCCACAUCAGAUGGAUUCAGCAGACUCCAUAGCCGGCAAGGCAAUUGGAAGGAUGCAAGAGAUUGCGGACAAGAUUUUUUCCGUAGCUCGGGAAACAAUCCGUCCAGGACGCGGGUUGACCUCCUUUGACGCUACCAAACUUCGUGUAGCAUUGGAGGACAUUGCUUGCAUGAUGGAGCAAGAUUCUCUGGUGUUCCAAGAGUAUUUGGACAAGGUCAACAACGUAACCCACCAGCCCGACAGCAACUACGAACCCUCAGACUUGUCCUCACCACCCCCUGGUGAAGACAACCUUAGUCCAGACUGGGACUUUGCCGAGCACUUCGAAAGGUUUUGGGGUAUUGAAUAUGACUCCGAUCAGAUGCCUUCCUUUAGUGACAAUGAGGUUUAAGUUAGAACUUGGUUAAGCCUGUUGUUUGUGUGCAUGCAGAUGUGUGACCCUGCUGCACACACAUAUGAUCAUGACACGGAUGACAGAGAUGGACAAUUGCUUGUUGCCCUAUAUGCUGUAGACAUUUGGGGCAGGCCUUCCAGUGAGGUUUCUAGAAGAACAAUGGUUGAAACAGGUAUUCAAUGGGUUGAGCGAACUUUGGAGAAUAGUAACGACUGCUUUGACAUGUUUCGCAUGCGACAUACUGUUUUUAGACGAUUGCAUGAUACGUUGGUGGAAAGUUAUGGUCUGCUUCCAAGCCGUGGUGUCGGUACUAUGGAAGCUCUAGGUAUUUUCUUGUGGGCAUGUGGGGGUCCACAAUCAUUUAGACAGAUAAGGAAUAAGUUUGGUCACUCCUUGGAAACUAUUAGUCGCAAGUAUAGUGAAGUACUUAAUGCACUAUAUAAGAUGUCAUCUGACGUAAUCAAGCCCAAAGACCCAAAUUUCAUAGAGAUUCAUCCUCGUUUGCGAGAGGGGAGAUUUUGGCCCCACUUCAAGGAUUGCAUAUGAGCAAUUGAUGGUACUCACUUUCCAGCGUCUGUCCCGGCCUCGGAGCAAGCCAAAUAUAUUGGUCGGCAUGGUUACGCAUCACAGAAUGUAAUGGCCGUUUGUGACUUCGAUAUGAGGUUCACAUUUGUUGUCACAGGUUGGCCAGGUUCAGUACAUGACACUAGAGUAUUACAAGAUACUUUGAUAACUUAUGUAGACUGGUUCCCCCAUCCACCGGAAGGUAAAUACUAUCUUGUGGAUUCAGGUUAUCCAAAUAGAAAGGGGUACCUUGCACCUUAUAAGGGUCAGAAGUACCACAUUUCAGAAUGGCAAAAUGCGAGGCAACCUAUUGGGAGCAAAGAAGUAUUCAACUAUGCACACUCGUCGCUACGCAAUGUUAUAGAGCGAUCUUUUGGUGUGCUUAAAAUGAAGUGGAGAAUUCUGUUAAGUCUCCCUUCAUUUUCGCUUAAGAAACAAUCCAAGAUAAUUAUUGCAUGUAUGACAUUGCAUAACUUCAUUAGAGACAGUGCUCUACACGAUAGAGACUUUGAUCAACUAGGACCUAAUAGCCUUGGUCAUGAUGUAUCUGUAGGUGAGAGUAGUAGUAGCACAUCUGAUGAGUUAGACAUGAGUGCAUUUCAAGAUGGAAUUGCUAAUGCAUUAGUGUCGUAGUUAAAUAUGUAAAUGUAACAGUAGUUAUGUUGUAAUGAACUCCACUAAUUAUAUGUAAUGACCUUUUGUUGGUUCGGUGUUAAUGUGUAUAGUUUGUUCAAACAGAAUCUGUGUAUCCAAACACCUAGAUUCUAACGAACAACUUUUCUGCACAGCUGACGAACCAAACACCUAAAUUCUAACCACCAGCUUUUCCCAACAGCCAGCUUUUCCCCACAACCAGCUUUUCAGAAAAGCUAUUUAGAAAAAAGCCGAACCAAACACGCCCAAAAGCUUUUCUUUUGCAGGCAUAUUUCAUGGUUUCUAGAGCUCUGUAUGGUACAUCAAGUUUUUUUACUUUCAGAUAAUAAGAUAUAUGUAAAAUGUGUUAGACUGUAUUAGCUCUAUCUAUGGGCGUGUUUGGUUCGACUUUUUUCUGAAUAGCUUUUCUGAAAAGCUGGCUGUGGGGAAAAAGCUGGUGGUUAGAAUUUAGAUGUUUGGUUCGCCAGCUGUGCAGAAAAGCUGUUCGUUAGAAUCUAGGUGUUUGGAUACACAGAUUCUCAGAUUGCAGAUUCUGUUUGAACAAACUAUACACAUUAACACCGAACCAACAAAAGGUCAUUGCAUAUAAUUAGUGGAGUUCAUUACAACAUAACUACCAUUACAUUUACAUAUUUAACUACGACACUAAUUUAUUAGCAAUUCCAUCUCGAAAUGCACUCAUGUCUAACUCAUCAGAUGUGCUACUACUACUCUCACCUACAGAUACAUCAUGACCAAGGCUAUUAGGUCCUAGUUGAUCAAAGUCUCUAUCGUGUAGAGCACUGUCUCUAAUGAAGUAUGCAAUGUCAUACAUGCAAUAAUUAUCUUGGAUUGUUUCUUAAGCGAAAAUGAAGGGAGACUUAACAGAAUUCUCCACUUCAUUUUAAGCACACCAAAAGAUCGCUCUAUAACAUUGCGUAGCGACGAGUGUGCAUAGUUGAAUACUUCUUUGCUCCCAAUAGGUUGCCUCGCAUUUUGCCAUUCUGAAAUGUGGUACUUCUGACCCUUAUAAGGUGCAAGGUACCCCUUUCUAUUUGGAUAACCUGAAUCCACAAGAUAGUAUUUACCUGCACAAACAGAAAUAUAAAGUUUAAUACUUAAGACAUAAAUGAAUAUCGUAUGAUACAAAAGUACAACAUACUUAUUUACCUUCCGGUGGAUGGGGGAACCAGUCUACAUAAGUUAUCAAAGUAUCUUGUAAUACUCUAGUGUCAUGUACUGAACCUGGCCAACCUGUGACAACAAAUGUGAACCUCAUAUCGAAGUCACAAACGGCCAUUACAUUCUGUGAUGCGUAACCAUGCCGACCAAUAUAUUUGGCUUGCUCCGAGGCCGGGACAGACGCUGGAAAGUGAGUACCAUCAAUUGCUCCUAUGCAAUCCUUGAAGUGGGGCCAAAAUCUCCCCUCUCGCAAACGAGGAUGAAUCUCUAUGAAAUUUGGGUCUUUGGGCUUGAUUACGUCAGAUGACAUCUUAUAUAGUGCAUUAAGUACUUCACUAUACUUGCGACUAAUAGUUUCCAAGGAGUGACCAAACUUAUUCCUUAUCUGUCUAAAUGAUUGUGGACCCCCACAUGCCCACAAGAAAAAUACCUAGAGCUUCCAUAGUACCGACACCACGGCUUGGAAGCAGACCAUAACUUUCCACCAACGUAUCAUGCAAUCGUCUAAAAACAGUAUGUCGCAUGCGAAACAUGUCAAAGCAGUCGUUACUAUUCCCCAAAGUUCGCUCAACCCAUUGAAUACCUGUUUCAACCAUUGUUCUUCUAGAAACCUCACUGGAAGGCCUGCCCCAAAUGUCUACAGCAUAUAGGGCAACAAGCAAUUGUCCAUCUCUGUCAUCCGUGUCAUGAUCAUAUGUGUGUGCAGCAGGGUCACACAUCUGCAUGCACACAAACAACAGGCUUAACCAAGUUCUAACUUAAACCUCAUUGUCACUAAAGGAAGGCAUCUGAUCGGAGUCAUAUUCAAUACCCCAAAACCUUUCGAAGUGCUCGGCAAAGUCCCAGUCUGGACUAAGGUUGUCUUCACCAGGGGGUGGUGAGGACAAGUCUGAGGGUUCGUAGUUGCUGUCAGGCUGGUGGGUUACGUUGUUGACCUUGUCCAAAUACUCUUGGAACACCAGAGAAUCUUGCUCCAUCAUGCAAGCAAUGUCCUCCAAUGCUACACGAAGUUUGGUAGCGUCAAAGGAGGUCAACCCGCGUCCUGGACGGAUUGUUUCCCGAGCUACGGAAAAAACCUUGUCCGCAAUCUCUUGCAUCCUUCCAAUUGCCUUGUCGGCUAUGGAGUCUGCUGAAUCCAUCUGAUGUGGAUUUAGGUUGGUUAGUGUACUAGACAAGGGGACAAUCUACUAACUUCCAUGUAUUGACAUGAAUUGCCGACAAGGGACAAAUGUUGGUUGAAGCAACUAACAUACAGCUAGUAACAAACAAAAGUAUGAACUGAACCCUGACCAUACAGGUUCUGACAAACAAACUAAGAACUAAUCCCUGAACAAAUAAUACUGAUGCAACAGAGCAAUGCCAUCCCUAGUAAACCUUAAACAGUAAUUGGUUGAGCCCAUGUUGACAGUAAACUGCGCAACAAAUUGAGUAUGAGAAUACCUUGGUUGCACUGGAAAUUGGAACCGAAGACGAAGACCCCGAGUUGAUAAGGAAAUCUGCAGGCAACAUUGGAGAAACAAUUAGGUACCGAAAGGCAGUUCAGUUGUUUGAGUUAACAUUGGACCAUACUUCAUCCUCUCUGAAUGAAAUGUGGGAACCAACAUUGGUGAAUCUUGGGCAUGCACUUCGGAAACUCAAGGAAUACCAGAAAGCAGUAUCAUAUUAUGCAAAGGCACUCACUUUUCCAACCAAAAGUUUGAGUGCAUUUGCUGGUCUUGCUUACACUUAUCAUCUUAUGGAUGAUUUUGAGGCUGCCAUAAAUUAUUACCAUAAGGCUCUAUGGUUGAAACCAGACGACCAGUUUUGCACAGACAUGCUAACAUAUGCUCUUGAGUCCAUCUGCCAAAUCACUGCUCGUAGAAAGCCUGGUCGAGGUUUGCUAACCGCAACAGGUGGUGUCACAUGCUAGGGUAUUAUUUUCCUUACAGACAUAGUAGUAGCUAAUUAUAUGUAAAUUUGUUGGUGUACAAUAUGUAAUUGCUCAAGUUCAUUUCAGUCACUCGAGGCUGAUCGUAGUGUAAAGCCAGACAUUUUCUGUACCUUUUAAUUUAUACUAGAAAUAGGCAGCGUCCGAGGACGCUUUGUACCAGCCACCUACACUAUGGAAAAACUGGGGAGAGACCGGAGUUGCAAGAUCAGGUUGUUCAGAGGUAUUUUUGCAAAUCCUAAUAGAAAUGCAUUUACAGAAA